GGGGAAUAUUGCGCAAUGGGCGAAAGCCUGACGCAGCGACGCCGCGUGAGGGAUGAAGGUUUUCGGAUCGUAAACCUCUGUCAGAAGGGAAGAAACUGUGCCGCUCUAAUCAACGGCGCACUGACGGUACCUUCAAAGGAAGCACCGGCUAACUCCGUGCCAGCAGCCGCGGUAAUACGGAGGGUGCAAGCGUUAAUCGGAAUUACUGGGCGUAAAGCGCACGUAGGCUGUUGUGCAAGUCAGGGGUGAAAUCCCACGGCUCAACCGUGGAACUGCCUUUGAUACUGCGCGACUUGAAUCCGGGAGAGGGUGGCGGAAUUCCAGGUGUAGGAGUGAAAUCCGUAGAUAUCUGGAGGAACAUCAGUGGCGAAGGCGGCCACCUGGACCGGUAUUGACGCUGAGGUGCGAAAGCGUGGGGAGCAAAC
rnacentral:rRNA from 1 species